AUGAGGUUGUGCCCAUGCAUCGAAGAUGCAUAUGGAAUGGCACAACCGACUUGCCGCCGAACGAAUGUGAGGGGGCGAUACCAACA
rnacentral:sRNA from 1 species